rnacentral:tRNA from 5 species
GCAUCGAUGGUGGAACUGGUAUACACAUAGCACUUAAAAUGCUACGCCGCAAGGAUUGAGGGUUCGAAUCCCUCUCGGUGCACCA